rnacentral:piRNA from 1 species
UGUGAGGGUCAUAGCACAUGCCAGAA